CCUACGGGUGGCAGCAGUAGGGAAUAUUGCUCAAUGGGGGAAACCCUGAAGCAGCAACGCCGCGUGGAGGAUGAAGGUUUUCGGAUUGUAAACUCCUUUUGUUAGAGAAGAUAAUGACGGUAUCUAACGAAUAAGCACCGGCUAACUCCGUGCCAGCAGCCGCGGUAAUACGGAGGGUGCAAGCGUUACUCGGAAUCACUGGGCGUAAAGAGCGCGUAGGCGGGAUAGCAAGUCAGAUGUGAAAUCCUAGGGCUUAACCAUAGAACUGCAUUUGAAACUGUUAGUCUAGAGUAUGGGAGAGGGAGGUGGAAUUCUUGGUGUAGGGGUAAAAUCCGUAGAGAUCAAGAGGAAUACUCAUUGCGAAGGCGACCUGCUAGAACAUAACUGACGCUGAGGCGCGAAAGCGUGGGGAGCAAACAGGAUUAGAUACCCGUGUAGUC
rnacentral:rRNA from 1 species